rnacentral:rRNA from 1 species
GAUGAACGCUGGCGGCGUGCUUAACACAUGCAAGUCGAACGGAAAGGCCCAAGUUUGCUUGUGUUCUCGAGUGGCGAACGGGUGUGUAACACGUGGGUGAUCUGCCCUGCACUGCGGGAUAAGCCGGGGAAACUGGGUAUAAUACCGGAUAGGACCACUUCUUGGAUGUUGUGGGGGAGAGUUUUUUCGGUGUGGGGUGAGCUCGCGGGCUAUCAGCUUGUUGGGGGGGUUGUGGCCUACCAAGGGGUGGGCGGGUACCCGGGCUGAGGGGGGGUGGCGCCCAAUUGGGGCCUGGGAAAGGCCCAGACUCCUACGGGGGGGAAGAGGGGGGAAUAAUGCACAAUGGGGGCCAGCCCUAUGCCGGGAAGCCGGGGUGGGGAAGACGGGCUUCCGGUUGUAAAACUCUUUCGCCAGGGACGGAGCGUUUUGUGACGGUACCUGGAGAAGAAGCACCGGCUAACUACGUG